GGCAAACUGGUGCAGUGGAAGCGUACUGGGUUCAUAACCCAGAAGUCCAUGGAUUGAAACCACGCUCUGAUA